UACGUAGGGUGCAAGCGUUGUCCGGAAUUAUUGGGCGUAAAGAGCUCGUAGGCGGUCUGUUGCGUCGGCUGUGAAAACCCGGGGCUCAACUCCGGGCCUGCAGCCGAUACGGGCAGACUAGAGUUCGGCAGGGGAGACUGGAGUUCCUGGUGUAGCGGUGAAAUGCGCAGAUAUCAGGAGGAACACCGGUGGCGAAGGCGGGUCUCUGGGCCGAUACUGACGCUGAGGAGCGAAAGCGUGGGGAGCAAACAGG
rnacentral:rRNA from 1 species